UAGCUUUAAAUUUUCGGCAGCAUGCCACCGCCUUCGUCAAAAAGUAAAUGAAUAUAGUAAAUUACUCUCCUUAUAUACAACAAUAUAAGUGAUUAAACUAAUUAAAGCAAUAUAAACAAAGCCUACAGAAACCUAUUGUUGGGAAUAAUCAUGGCUGGUAUUCAAACCCCCCAGAUUAGUAAGCAAAGUGCCUAUCCAAAAGUUUUCACACUUUCUUAAGUCCUCGUUGUUGUUAUCAAUUAACAUAAAUUUCAAAUUGAAAUGCUCGCUCCCGUGCACAUCUAUGAAGUGAUUAAC